AAGCUACACCAACUCACGUUAAACGCUGUUCUCCUUUUCGACCAUGUUCUCCUCUUAAAUCUUUUCCGGAGAUUCUCUUUUGCUGUGGUUUUGCAUAAACCCUAGACGACGAAUUCGAAUUCUGCUUUCACAAUAAAUUUGGGAUCACGGUUAUACGUCGAUUUAGUAGAAACUUCAGGAUCGAAGUUCGGUUGGGUGUGGAGAAGUUGGGGAAGUGGUAGUGAAUUAGGCUGCAGGUUCUGUUCCUAUUAGGUUUUUGCUUUGUUAGAGGUGGGAGGUUUUGCUAGAGGCAGCGACUGGAUUAUCGUGUGUUGUCAUAUAUUCACUACUGAAUGGGUAUAGUUCACACCUGGAAUUAUUAUUUGGCACGUUCGAUUGGAAUACUAAAUAGUUUCUGCCAAUCUCGGCUACUGAGGGUGCAACAUUUGAAGGAAGUGGACUUUUGUGCAACUCAACUGUUGUUUUAAGUAGGCGAGGUAAAAUAUAGAGGGACUUCCUUUGUUUGAUGGUAGUAUUUCUAUGGGUUCAGCAAUACUCAAUUAUGUGCUAAAUCUGUGGCCUUUUUCGGGCCUCAGAGUUGAUGAUCUGAAGUUAUCUGAUCGAUUGGUUAAAAGACUUUCGCUUCCUGAACACACCCAGCCGUUUGUUUUCGCUAUUAGUGAGCCAGAAAAUGAGGCCAUUGUAUAUAUUCUUGCUGCACAGAAUUUGUCUGAAAGAUCAGCUAGGGAUGCUGAAUAUUUAAUAAAGGAAGUACGACCUGAUGCAGUUGUUGCUUUAGUUGGUCAUAAUACAUUGUCUGAAAUUCAAGAACAUGAAAUGGUUGAAGGUACGGGUGAUCUGGUUCCAACUUCAGUUUUUAGAGUUUUGAUGAGGUGUUUUAUGGACAAAACAAACAAAGACAGGUACGAAAAUCUUGCUGGAAACUUGGUUCUGAAAGAAAUUUUUGGUAUUGGCUUCUAUGGGCACUUCUUUGUUGCGAAGAUGUUGGCACAGGAAAUUGGUUCUUCAUUCUCGGUUAUUGAAUCUCCCAUUAUGAAGUCAGCUGGAGCUGAAAUUGAUUCAUCUUCUGACACUAGUUUGUCUAGUAAUAAACUUCAAACUUUGGCAUUGCGGCCAAGUAGCCUGGUUCCACAGGAUUGGGGUUCCCUAGUUGGUAAAUUUCGAAGACUUCACAUUACCAGUGAUAUCCAGUCUCAGAUGAUCAAGUUGGUAUGUCCAUUUUUAUCCCAGUCAUUUAUAAACUUGAGUCCUUUUGGGUCUCCUGUGGAUAGAGAGUCAUGUAUAAUGGAGCCUAGGUGCAAUUAUUGCCCCCCACCAUUUGCACAAACGGUUUAUCCCUUACUCAUGGAUCUUCAUGAUAUUUUUUCUGAUAUUCCAUCUAUGGGUCGUGCUCUAGCAUAUGCACAGAAAAUGUUUCUUGACGUGGGUACAGGAGAGGGGGUUGAUGCUGAUUUAUUGUCUGAAGUUUAUACCUUCCGUAUUGCAGUGGAAGGGUUGAGGAUUGCUCUGAAUAAUGCUGGUAGACUCCCAAUCCAGAAAUUAGGGAAAUCUAUGCCGGGCAAGAUUGAAUUUCAUGAGCUGUCAGUUGAGGAUAAAUCCCAUUGUCUUCUUGCACAAACCCUUCGAAGUCAGGCAAAAAGAUUUAAGACAGUAGUGGCAGUAGUGGAUGCUAGUAGCUUAGCUGGUCUUAGGAAGUUCUGGAACACUCCGAUCCCCGGAGAAGUUAAGGAUAUGGUUGAUGAACUUAUUGUAUGCCAAGAAGUUGAUGCAGAAAGCACAGAUGAUAAAAAGAAGCGGCUGUUAUCUGGUAAACCUGUAGUUGCAGUUGCUUCCGGUGCUACUGCUGUUCUGGGGGUGUCUUCCCUUUCUAAAGCUGUACCAUUGUCAUCUAUUGUGAAGGUUUUCAUGUUUAAUGUUCCAUCAUCUUUAAAGAUUUUUCUUACACAAACACAUAAAGCAACUUUAUUUGCACUAACCAAGAUUCUUGGUCCAUCAAAAUUUGUGGCUCCGGGCUUUGCAAGUUCUGGGGCUAAAGCAUCCACCGCAUUCAAGGCGGCUGCUUCUGCGGAGAAAAUUCGUGCCGUUACUCAUAGUGUUAUAGCUUCUGCGGAAAAGACUAGCUUAUCAGCUAUGAGAACUGCAUUCUACGAGAUAAUGAGGAAACGGCGUGUUCAGCCAAUUGGUAGAAAGCCAUUGGCUACCUUUGGCCUUAGUGUAGCGAGCUGUGCUGGGUUGCUUGCAUAUGGUGAUGGAAUUGAAUGUGCUGCUGAAUCUUUUCCUGCAGCCCCUUCCAUCGCUAGCUUAGGCCGUGGUAUCCAAAAUUUGCAGCAGGUGUCUCAAUCCAUCGGACAUUCAUGUGGAAAUAAUAUUCAAAAAGCUAUAGAGUCACUGAUGCACAGGUUCCAAAAACUGAAGAUCCAGUAGAGUGAGAAUCUAUGACUUCUGUUGUAUAUUAUCCUAGCUGUCAGCGGUGGUGAAUUCAUUAACGAUCAUUCAUCCCAUUAUAUGGAGAUUCAGGUGCUUGGUGUGCCCUCUGAGCAUGUGUAAGCCCUUUCUUGUGGCGCCAGCUGUACACAAACAUAGGUGGGUCAGCUCUCAUGUGGUCCAUUACAUUAUGGUUGAGCAAACCAUGUCAUUUUCUCUCCAGAUUCAGUAUUGGCAGAUGCUUUUGCAAGUUUUCUCUACACCAGUAACCUAUACAUGUACGUGUCCAAGUGUCAGACACAGGCCUUUUGUGAAACGUUUGCAUGAUUUUGGCCCCAAAGAAGUGCCCAAGAGUCGUGCCAAUGUCGAGUGUCGAGCAUCCGGCAUUUAUACUUGAGGUACUGUUGGGUACAUUAAGGGGGCUUUCAUUUUGGGUUCUUAGAAAUGGGAAAGAGAAUUGUAAAUUUUCUGCUAUGUCCUAGUGUCCUACCUGAACUUCCAUGCAGUACUGUUGGAUAUAUUAAAGCAAUUUGCAAUCCAGGAAACUCUUAGUACUACUGUUUUAGAGUAAGAAGAACCGCUUGGGCUUUACUAAGAUCCCAUUUUGGAUUCUUUCGUUCUUCCCUUUGGCUAGGACUUUGGUGCUUAAUGCUUUCUUCUGGGUGGUUGAAAGGUAUUCUUUAUCGUGUAUGUUUUUCUGAGGUUGUAACUGACAACUAGGAAACAUGCAUUUGUCUUUAUUAAAAUGAAAAUGUUAGCUCCAUUACUCUGGUAUUUAGGCUUUUCUAUCCUCUGUAUCUCAUUACUUAGUUCUUCACUAUUGACCUUUAUGACAGCCUGGCAGGUGUAUGCAUUUUCAUUAUAGCAGCUACUGAACCAGAAAAAAAAAGGACAAACAAAGGUACUUGAUCACUACGCCCGAGUUCAGCAACAGUAAAACUUAGCAUGAAGAUGAGGAGGAUGAGAGUGAAGAAACAGCUGACCAGUUUGGCCAUAGUUGUAUUAUAUGCACUUGAGCUGUGUAGUGUUUGUUUUAUGAGC